rnacentral:pre_miRNA from 1 species
AGUGGAAUUGUUGGGUUAUAUGGUACCUAUGCUUAACUUUUUGAGGGACUGCCAAACUCUUUUCCACAGUUACUCAACCAUUUUACAUUCCCACCAGUAAU